rnacentral:rRNA from 1 species
ACUAUGGAGAGUUUGAUCCUGGCUCAGGAUGAACGCUAGCGGCAGGCCUAAUACAUGCAAGCUGAACGGUAAGAUUUGUAGCAAUACGGAUCCUAGAGUAGCGU